GGAAUUUUGGACAAUGGGGGCAACCCUGAUCCAGCAAUGCCGCGUGAGUGAAGAAGGCCUUCGGGUUGUAAAGCUCUUUUGUCAGGGAAGAAACGGUUUAGGUUAAUACCUUGCACUAAUGACGGUACCUGACGAAUAAGCAACGGCUAACUACGUGCCAGCAGCCGCGGUAAUACGUAGGUUGCAAGCGUUAAUCGGAAUUACUGGGCGUAAAGCGUGCGCAGGCGGUUUGGUAAGACAGAUGUGAAAUCCCCGGGCUCAACCUGGGAAUUGCAUUUGUGACUGCCCGGCUAGAGUGUGUCAGAGGGGGGUAGAAUUCCACGUGUAGCAGUGAAAUGCGUAGAUAUGUGGAGGAAUACCGAUGGCGAAGGCAGCCCCCUGGGAUAACACUGACGCUCAUGCACGAAAGCGUGGGGAGCAAAC
rnacentral:rRNA from 1 species